GGCUGCCUUGGUAUUUCGGGUCUGUGAGCUCACAGGAAAUAGGGUCAGUGUUAUGCAACUAGGUGGAAAUGGAAAACUCUCAUACAGAGCAGGCUCUGGGAUGAGUGGUAAAGGAACAAUACUCAUCAUAGAUCACAGCAUGGCUCCACAUCAACCUCCACGCGUCCUUUUCCCUACCUGGGAUCAAAGCAGAGGAAGAGCCCUUGCUACAGUCUGGCUCUGGAACAUCCUCCGAAGCCCCAUGAGUUGAAGGCCUGCUUCCCAGCCGGUGGUGCCACCAGGAGGUGGUGAUCCCAGGAGUUUCUUCUGCGAGGAAACAGCGGCAUCUAGUGGCUAUAUUUAGUCAUAGCAGUCAUUUACGUGUUCCUUCAAAGGUCAAAGGGCAAGCAAAGAAGUCUGGAACAGCCGGGAGACUGUGUUGGAAGUAAACUAGUGACUGAUACACUAGAAAACUUUUAAAUAGCUUAUGAGCUUGGUUCUGAGAUCCUCUACUCAGUGUGGGUGGAAGCUUUCACGAUCAGCUCUGGCUCCUGUCUUCCUCUGCCCUUUGCCACACAUCUUGGCAGUUGCUUUCAUCGAAUCAUAAUGUACGUCCUGCCUUUUGACUUUGGAUUCAGCCACUCUGAACGGGGCAGGAGUGUGCCAGUGCGAGCCUGGACCUCGUGAGGCCUUAGGUGCACACUUGAGGGACGGCCUUGCAUCCUAGGAAGAAUCACAAAUAUCCUGAGUCUCACUCAUUAGAUUUAGGGUGCAGACCAUCAUCUGACACACAGGAAUGAGGGUGGCAGUGACCAGACUCUGUGUCACACAUUGCUGCUUUCAUGGGGGUGUCGUAAGAGACACCUGCACUCAAACCUCGGCUCUGCCAGAGACAGCACGGAAGAGAGACAAGUCCUGCGGAUGCGGCUCACACCUUGGUCUUUAGAUUCCGCCUGGGCCAGCUCCUCCAGGGACUGCUCCAGCAAGUCGGCCAGCCGGCUCAGCACCUGUGCGCGCUCCUGGGGGCUCCGGGACGACCAGCCAGGAAAGGCCCCUCUGGCGGCCCGGACAGCGGCUUCAAUCUUGAGGAAAAGACAGGAGAAGGUCACACCAAGCUGCUGCUCCGGAGAGGCUGCAGGAAGAGUGACUCCCCACGACCCUACACAUGUGACUGUUCUUUUUUCAAUUACUCAACAUGCCCCGAUUCUGAGCUACCUUGAGUAGUCAGCACAGGUGUUUAUGUGAGUCGAGACACCACACAAAGAAAAACGCUCCACUUCCACCAAAGAAUCCGGAAUGAAUAUUGUGUGCAGAAGAAACAUGGUCUAGAGGUAUAGGAGCGCUAACAUCCAGCUCCAACAUUUCACGAAGGCUAAAGUUUUGUGUGAAAUCAUAUCUUUUGACUGUCGUUAGCACUUACAGCGAUUAAUUCUAUUAUUGACUAAAUUUUAUAGCUAAGAGAGUGUGACUAACUGCACAAGUAUUUCAUUUAACCUCUUUUAAAAUCCUGUCCCUCAAGUAUUUUAUGCUCAUUUUACGUGAGGAAACUGAGGAACAGAAAGUUCAGGUACCUUACUACAGGGGUAGUAAGUGGCAGAAUCGAGAUUCAUACCCAGUUGUUGGUGGCAUCCAAGACCACACUCUAACAGACUAUGGCAUAACCACUGUCUCUGCUCCCUGCCAACAGAAGGGGUCUCUGUUGGACAGCGGUGGAUCUGAAGUUGAACAAAAUCCUGGGGUCCAGUUUUGGGGCUACAUCCAAGAGGAAACAGCAUGUGAUAAUGUAUGUGUAGAACCAAUUUAGGACCAAAAUGAAUCUUUCAGUGUUUUUCUGCCUUUAUCCCCUCUUGGGCAAUGUUGAGGCUAUCCCUUUUGCAGAAACAAGAAAUCCAUAGCCCAUGUUUUAAUCCUUUUCUCUCACAUGCAUGAUGACUGAUGAUAGUCACAGCUGUCUUCUGCCUCGGGGCCCCAGCUCGGCCCCCUUUGCCGGGAGCUUUAGGCAGCCCUGAGCAGCUUUCUUGUCACAUGAUCUGAGCAUCAGCCUCCUGACCCUGUGCCACCCCAUGCAUCGAAAGCUGAUCUAUAUCUUUUUGUUUCUGCAAGGAAGAAAGUCACUUUCAGCUGAGCUGAAGGGGUAAGAUUAAAGUUAAGAGGACUGAUGAAGUGCCUCAGUGGUAGAUCACUUGACCAAAACAAGCAAGAACCAUGCUUCUUCCCCAGCAUGGAAAAAGAAUAAGAAAGAUUUGAAAGAUGGUAGUUUCAUCUCAAAGACCAAAUGUUUAUCUUAGACCCGUAGAUGGGAUGAGGGAAGAGACGUGGGCUCUGAUGCUGUCCACCUCAAGAUGCAGUGUGGGGAAGUCCAUGGCUGAGCAGCCACAUGAACCUUAACUCCUACAGUGGUCAGUUUAAGAACUGAUCGUUAGCUAUUCAAGUCCAUUCGUAUUCUCUACGCUGUCCCGCUUCACACAUCUCACGUACACAAUACGGAAUACAUAUUAAUCUACUACACACUGAUACUUAGAAAGUGUUUACUAUAUACUAAGCACUACAACAGUCCAUGUUAGUCUAUUUAAUUCUCCAAAUACUAGGAAAUAGGUGUCAUUAAUAUUCUCAUUUCAUAAGUGGGUAGAGAGAAGCAUGAAGAAAUUGAGCUCUAAAUCAAAGCCACAGACACCAAGUGGGGAAGAUGGUCUUUGAAGCCAAGCAGUCUAACUCCAGUAUGUUUAUGGAUGCAAUACUCUCAUACAAAGGGUUGUAACAAAGAGUGUGUGUGUGUGUACAUGCAUGUGUACAUGUAUGUGCGUGUCCACUGACCCGUGCAUCAGAGUUGGCAGUGUCAGCACACUGGGGUCUGCUGGAUAAGAAUGAUAGUAGCCUCAACUUUCUAGGUUGCUGCCACUUGCUCUGGGUUAAACAGCUUGGUGAAAGUGAGGUGCACCAGUGAAGCUGAAUAAAUGGCAGGGCCUGGGGGCAGCACAGGAGCACGUUCUGUGGAAGAGUGAGAACUUUGCAUGUAUUUUUAUGGUCACUAUUUUUUUCAAUCUAAAAAAUAUGGUACUUAUGGGAUCAGAUUGGGGUCAUUGUGAGUGGGAUUUCUGAGAAGUAAACAUUACUUGUUACUGUAGGAACAACUGAUAUUUUCUGUUUUAUUCUAUUUUCUGAAAAGGUCCAAGACAUUAGCUGUAGAAAAUACUCUAUCUGAAUUUGGCUUAUUUGUCAUUUUAACUUCACCUGGGAAAACACUGGGAGACCAGGAAGAUUCCUCACAUUACAGUUUAACCAGUGAAUUAGCCAAUAUUUGUGAACAUUAAUCCACAAGUCUAAAGGGUUUUUUUUUAAUGCAAAACAGACUUGAAAUUUUAACAGAGAAAAAUAACUGAGUUCUUAAAAAACGUUGCAUAUAAUUUUUAAUAAUAUAUGAAGGCUACAACUGUAUGUUAAAUAGCCUAGUUCUCUGUGUCUUAAAAGAAUGAUUCUAAUCCACUAAGCAUUAGAUGGCUGUGCAUUUGUCAGUGACAUUUAUCCCCCACAUAUAUUUACAUUCUCAGCUUAAUAAUUGAUAACUAAUCAAACAUGUCUCAAUAUUUUAUAAAAUUACCCAAUUAAAAAUAGUUCUUCAGCACUAAAAGAAAGCAUAAUGCAUGUGACAUCAAGCACUUUGAAUAAUAAAAGUUAAAUCUAAAUGCAAAAAUAUUACACAAGAAUUUGAUUUUUAGUUUCAACAUUCAAAUGUUUGAGUUUGAUACACUAGGUAUUUUGAAGACACAAGGAAUUAUUACAGAAUGAUCACUGGCACAUUUUUUAAGAAAUCUAUGGAUCUAGUGGCAAAUUUAUGUGACACUUGGUCUAUAAAAGGAUCCCCUUAAGAAUAGUGAUAAUUCUUACAAAUAAUAUUUCGUACCAUACACCUAUUAGAGUCAGAAACUUAGCCCCCAAAAUGUUACACAUACAAGUGUGUGUUAGUUUGGCUAGAAAAACGGCUUGCUUCUGGAUAUAGGAGGAACCUUACAAGAAAACGUCCUUAGAAUCUUCCUUCCACUAGCAUGUAACAAUUCUACACUUUCUUGCAAACUCUUUUGCUUUCAGAAAAUCAAGUUACCCAGAGCUUGCCAAAAUACUAAGUAGAUUUCAGUCUUCUCCAAGUGAAUGCACUCACCUCAUCUUUCCCACUAUUUGGCACCUUGCAGUACACUUUCCCUGUGGAAGGAUCGUAGGAAUCUAUAUAUGAGUCACAAGGUAAAAAUUUCCCAUCUAUGAAGUUUUCCAGCAUCAAAAGUUCGCCUGGU